rnacentral:rRNA from 1 species
UCUGGUUGAUCCUGCCAGUAGUCAUAUGCUUGUCUCAAAGAUUAAGCCAUGCAUGUCUAAGUAUAAGCAAUUUAUACAGUGAAACUGCGAAUGGCUCAUUAAAUCAGUUAUCGUUUAUUUGAUAGUUCCUUUACUACAUGGUAUAACUGUGGUAAUUCUAGAGCUAAUACAUGCUUAAAAUCUCGACCCUUUGGAAGAGAUGUAUUUAUUAGAUAAAAAAUCAAUGUCUUCGGACUCUUUGAUGAUUCAUAAUAACUUUUCGAAUCGCAUGGCCUUGUGCUGGCGAUGGUUCAUUCAAAUUUCUGCCCUAUCAACUUUCGAUGGUAGGAUAGUGGCCUACCAUGGUUUCAACGGGUAACGGGGAAUAAGGGUUCGAUUCCGGAGAGGGAGCGUGAGAAACGGCUACCACAUCCAAGGAAGGCAGCAGGCGCGCAAAUUACCCAAUCCUAAUUCAGGGAGGUAGUGACAAUAAAUAACGAUACAGGGCCCAUUCGGGUCUUGUAAUUGGAAUGAGUACAAUGUAAAUACCUUAACGAGGAACAAUUGGAGGGCAAGUCUGGUGCCAGCAGCCGCGGUAAUUCCAGCUCCAAUAGCGUAUAUUAAAGUUGUUGCAGUUAAAAAGCUCGUAGUUGAACUUUGGGCCCGGUUGGCCGGUCCGAUUUUUUCGUGUACUGGAUUUCCAACGGGGCCUUUCCUUCUGGCUAACCUUGAGUCCUUGUGGCUCUUGGCGAACCAGGACUUUUACUUUGAAAAAAUUAGAGUGUUCAAAGCAGGCGUAUUGCUCGAAUAUAUUAGCAUGGAAUAAUAGAAUAGGACGUUUGGUUCUAUUUUGUUGGUUUCUAGGACCAUCGUAAUGAUUAAUAGGGACGGUCGGGGGCAUCAGUAUUCAAUUGUCAGAGGUGAAAUUCUUGGAUUUAUUGAAGACUAACUACUGCGAAAGCAUUUGCCAAGGACGUUUUCAUUAAUCAAGAACGAAAGUUAGGGGAUCGAAGAUGAUCAGAUACCGUCGUAGUCUUAACCAUAAACUAUGCCGACUUAGGGAUCGGGUGGUGUUUUUUUAAUGACCCACUCGGCACCUUACGAGAAAUCAAAGUCUUUGGGUUCU